UACGUAGGGGGGCAAGCGUUGUCCGGAAUCAUUGGGCGUAAAGCGCGUGUAGGCGGCCCGGUAAGUCCGCUGUGAAAGUCGGGGGCUCAACCCUCGAAUGCCGGUGGAUACUGUCGGGCUAGAGUGCGGGAGAGGCGAGUGGAAUUCCUGGUGUAGCGGUGAAAUGCGCAGAUAUCAGGGAGGAACACCAAUUGCGAAGGCAGCUCGCUGGAACGUAACUGACGCUGGAGACGCGAAAGCGUGGGGAGCAAACAAGG
rnacentral:rRNA from 1 species